UGGAGCUCAUGACUAUCUUGUGAUUGACUUUUAAUAGCCUUAGUCAGUCAGGAUGGCAUGGAGAGGGACAUCUAGAAGAGCUGCAGGGAAGGACCUGUUCUAAGAAGAUGGAUGCUGCUGUCAAAGGCCUGUCAUAAACAUAAAUGAUGAAGAAAUAGUCGAUAAAAAUGAUAUCUGCCUCCAGCAGUCCUGAGAGACUAGGCGUGAUUCAUUUCACCCCUGGUUUGGUUCAACACAAACAAGCCCUGGCAGGGACAGCAGGCUGAGAGGAUAUAAGAGAUUUCCUGUGAGGACUCUGACAUGCUGUGCUUGGACAACGAUGGUCCCCAUUUGGCAUCCACAUAUAUCAAGAGACUCCUUCAGUUCCCACAAAUAUUUGACUUGCCUUUUUAUAUUGCCAAAAGUUUAAAAAUCUGCAUAUGGUCAACUAUUGUAAUGCACAUAUAGGCCUACACAUGUCAUUCACGCAUGUAUCUUCUUUGUCACUGUCAAAUUUAUUUAUAUAGCACAUGUAAAACAACCACAGUUGACCAAAGUGCUGAACAGGGUAAAAUACUUGUAUCCUUUUACAUUCCUUAUAUCUCAUGCUCAGCUUACACAUGCACUGAUGUGUUACAUGAUACAAAUGAAUGCCUCUCAUGAUUGCCAUGAGACACUUUACUUCUCAGACUGGUCAAAGGGAACAAGCUUCCACUGAUGGAUGACCCUUAUACAUCUUACCUUCCUCAGAUGCUUUAUGCUUUUCCCUCAGUACUUUCACUGCUCAUCGACUAAAUGAGUGUCCCAGCUGGCAGGAAGCAGAAAAGUACAGAAUGUACAUACAUCCCAAUUUGGAAAAUGUUAAUACAUAUAGACUGGGGUUGACCUCAGCAGCUGUAUAUGUUGUGAGUUCUUCAUGAAAAUCUACAGUGACUUCCAGUAUUUUGGAUUAGGCUUGUCCCUGCACACUGAGCAAACAAAUGCUGCCCAUGUACGUUUUCAAACAGUAUUAGAAUUUAACCUCAGGCUAAAUGCAGUAACUACAUUUAGGAAAGACAACACUGAAGAAUAUAUUCCUUUGAGUGAGUGCUCAGACAUUUAAUAUCAGGGCGGUUAGGUGCCAGAUUGCAUAGAAUUUGAGUAAUUUGUUCCUUCAUCUUCAUUAUUAUUUAUUAUUUACUUCCUGGAAAUCCAGAGUUAGACAACAGCUGUAAAAAAAAAAAAAAGUACCAACUUGAUAUGCUGAGUCUGUUUCUUAUGCAAGACACCAUGAUGACAGAAUGCACUGUACUGAACUGAUGUUUAAAGUACUAGUUCCACAUUUUUGUUUUGUUUGUUAGAUGAGAAGAUUGAUACUGUCACAGAUGAAAUGCAGAACCCAAAAGCAUGCAUAUGGGCAGGUAGGAGAAAAAGUCUUUUAAUUUAGAAGGGCCACAAGAAAGGGGAGCUUGUGGUUGGCUGAUGUUUGGGCUGGGUGAAGGAAGGGUGGGGGGUGAAGGUUUGCAGAAGGCACAUAAACAUACCACGUGUUGCACAGCGAUCCUGCACAGACUCGAUGUCAGCACAGGGUUCUUACAGUGGUGAAGUGAUGACUUGAUAGCAGACAGAUUGCUUGAUUGGAAAUGAAGGGCAGGUGUGCAGUGAAAGGGAGCGCAAGGGGUAAGGGAACAAGCAACAGAUAGACAAAACUAAAACCCACUAAGCACACCUCUCACCCACUAGGGGUAGAAAAUAACAAAAAGGACUCUUUUCCAGAAGUUAUGCUAAGCUAAAAAAACAGUCCAUAGGCUGUAUGUUCAUUGCACAUAGCACAGAUGCAAAAGUGGUGUCAAUCUUCUCAUCAUUGGCAAGAAUGUGAAUAAGUUAUUUCUCAAAAUAUUCCUUUAACUGUGUAUUAAUAACAGUAAAUAUACUAAAAUACUGAAUUAUUGGUGGCAUAAAAAUAUCAAAAGCAUGUGUUUAUGUAGAUAAUGAGGAACCCUGCUGUAAAAUAAUGUUGGCUCAGAAGAAAAUCCCUCUCUGGAGGCGAAAACAAGUUACCAAGGUCAAGGAUAAAUUCCAAUGCUAAAUGCAGUUGCUGUAAAUAACUCAAACACAUAUUUACGUUGUCUGGGGAUUCUGCUCAAAUGGGGCAGCUGUCAGCGCUAAACGAGCUCUGCAGAACCAAUCCUUUACAUUUCAUGGACCCCAAACCUCAGAUGUACAGACAGGAUGCACUUCCCCCAAGAUUGUCCCUAAAACUAGCCCCUUGGUGGUGUGUACCGUGGUUAUCAAGCCUGAUUCCCAUGAACUAAUUGGCCUUCUUUGAAGCAUUCAAUCACGCAUACUGUGUUUACCACAGAGUAAGGAGCACUCAAGGGCACUGGGGGUAGGUUACUGAUCACAAUGAUACUAAUUCAUUGCACCAUUCAUUUUAAUUAACAGGAGUGGAAGUGGAAACAGGUCAGUUGGAGGAGACACUCAAACUGAAGAGGGAUCUAACUGUGAAUGGGGCCUGUUGUGGGAAAAAUGUGGGUAACUGGCAGACAGCCUCUUACUGUCAAGUGCUAUGCAGCUGGUGGUUCUGAGAAGGAAAAGGAAAGAAAGCUUGAAUUACAAUGUGUUCUUCAAGACAGAAGGGGUUCUGACCUGUAAAUGUAACACAGCAGCUGUGCACUCUUUAGCACUGACAUUUCUGCAGAUUACUUCUACAGUUUGGGAAAUUCUGUGAAGCUAUCAUGUAUGUAUGGUACAAUAAAGCUGAAUUGAAUUGAUA